GAUUUCAACUGAAUAAGUAAUCAAUAACAAAGUGCUAUAACUCAUCAAGAUCUAGAACUUUUAUUUGGGUCAUUUCUUCAUUUGACAAAGCGAUUUGUAACAUUAUUUACAAAUUUUACAUAUCUCUUAUAUAGUUUAUAAACUAUAAGAGAGAUAUGUAAAAUUUGUGAACAAUGUUACUAUCACUUUAUUGGAUGAAGAAAUGACCCAAAUAAAAGUUAUAGAUGUUAAUGAGUUAUACAACUUUUUUAUUGAUGACUUUUUCAGUUGAAAUC
rnacentral:pre_miRNA from 1 species